rnacentral:ncRNA from 1 species
GCAUAUUUUGCCCAGGCCGAGCUCGACCGCCCAUUCAACAGAUGACCAUGUUUACAGAAGAUCACCAUGCGGUUUUUGGUGUUGGGCCGAUCUGCAGUGUACUGCCGAUUGCACC